CAGGAUUAACGCUGGCGGCGUGCAUGAGACAUGCAAGUCGAACGGACGAGCAGGGCUUGCUCUGCUCGUUAGUGGCGGACGGCUGAGUAACGCGUAGGUGACCUGCCCCGAAGUGGGGAAUAACUGCCCGAAAGGGUGGCUAAUACCGCAUGUGGCGACUGGUUCGUUCCAGUCUCCAAAGCCGCAAGGCGCUUCGGGAGGGGCCUGCGUCCGAUUAGCUCGUUGGUGGGGUAACGGCUCACCAAGGCGACGAUCGGUAGGUGGUCUGAGAGGACGAUCACCCAGACUGGGACUGAGACACGGCCCAGACUCCUACGGGAGGCAGCAGUCGGGAAUUUUGCUCAAUGGGCGAAAGCCCUGAAGCAGCAACGCCGCGUGAGGGAUGACGGCCUUCGGGUUGUAAACCUCUUUUCUCAGGGACGAUAAUGACGGUACCUGAGGAAUAAGCCACGGCUAACUACGUGCCAGCCGCCGC
rnacentral:rRNA from 1 species